GUGAGGAAUAUUGGUCAAUGGGCGCAAGCCUGAACCAGCCAUGCCGCGUGCAGGAAGACGGUCCUAUGGAUUGUAAACUGCUUUUAUUUGGGAAUAAACUCCGGUACGUGUACCGGCCUGAAGGUACCAAAUGAAUAAGCACCGGCUAACUCCGUGCCAGCAGCCGCGGUAAUACGGAGGGUGCAAGCGUUAUCCGGAAUCAUUGGGUUUAAAGGGUCCGCAGGCGGUCUUAUAAGUCAGUGGUGAAAGCCUACAGCUCAACUGUAGAACUGCCAUUGAUACUGUAGGACUGGAAUUCGAUCGAAGUGGGCGGAAUGUGACAUGUAGCGGUGAAAUGCUUAGAUAUGUCACAGAACACCGAUAGCGAAGGCAGCUCACUAGGUCUGGAUUGACGCUCAGGGACGAAAGCGUGGGGAGCAAACAGGAUUAGAUACCCCGGUAGUCC
rnacentral:rRNA from 1 species